AGUUUGUCGAGGCAAACCUCAGAUAAUUUUUGCCACAAAACUGUGGCUGCACACAUUCAGAUGUAACAGUGUUCCAACCUCUGCCCCUUUUAACUGUGGUUUCAAGUUACGUGCAAAUGCAGCCAACAUCUAGCUAAUUAAAAGAGAAGGGUUCUCAAACGUUGUCUUAACAUAUUAAAGGUAAUUUACAUUUGAAUUUGAAGUUUACUUUUAAUAAAUCAAAUCUUAAAUCUACUCAAUAGUUUUAAGGCAACAAUGAUAAGUAAUCAACUUGCCAAAUGAAUAAUUUAAAUUAAUUACCUGUUUGUUUAAUUGGCUGCCUUCUGUUCCAUCUAUCAUUUUCCUUCUUCUUUGCCACUAUUUGGUCUGAUUGGCUAAAGCGAACCACAUUACUUGUUUAUGAAUGUCCAUGAGGCUAUUACAUCAGACACAGUGUUGUGACAUCAUAGUCAAAAACAUGUGACUCACCACAGCCAAUGGUGCAUUAUAUGCAAGUGAGGUCAAGGACUGUGAGUAUUAAAAAGAAGGAAAAGGUUGCUAAGAGAUAGAGCAUCAAAACAAUGGGAAUCUGUAUUCAACAGGGGCUGAAAGUCACCUCUGUACUUUUCAACACUUAUGAACAAAGAGCACACAAUUGGGUAAAUGUUUUCAGCUCAGCCCUAGUUUUAGCACAUUUCCCCCCUAAAACUCCUAAAUUCAACAUCUUAUUCUGCCCCUAAACUUCCACUAUACAAUUCUCAUCUACUACUUAUAUUAACGAAAGGAAAUUUACUACUCUCACCUUUUCAUUUAAUGGGUAUCUGAAGGAUACACUAACUCAAAUAUUUAUAUGAUCCUGGUCUUCAUAUAGCAGCAACUUUAGAAAUCAGAAUGUCAAAUAUAUUGGCUUCUUUAUAUUGGAGAUUGUCCAAAAUUUAUGCUGAAUAAUUUGCCCGAUGAGGAGCGGGAAUGCAUGACCUUUUCAAGAAUCUACAGCUGCACGACAUGGAAAAUGUCCAGGAUAUUGCAGCUUCUUCAUAUCCAGACCAUUUGAAUAAUGAGUUUGAAUUCUGCACGUCAUUAAAAAGAAAGAAGCCUUCUGGGGUCAUUUUACCUCUCCCUGUUUUUCUACCUUUGCAUGACUUUCUCUGAAAAUCUUAUGUAGAUUCUCUCCUGGAAGAUUGGUUUACACAUUCAUUUAGUAUUACAUUUUUGCUUCUCUGA